UACGUAGGGUGCAAGCGUUAAUCGGAAUUACUGGGCGUAAAGCGUGCGCAGGCGGUUGUGCAAGACAGAUGUGAAAGCCCCGGGCUCAACCUGGGAAUUGCAUUUGAGACUGCUCUGCUCGGGUGCGGAAGAGGGAAGCGGAAUUUCCGGUGUAGCGGUGAAAUGCGUAGAUAUCGGAAGGAACACCAGUGGCGAAAGCGGCUUCCUGGUCCGACACCGACGUUCAGGCACGAAAGCGUGGGGAGCAAACAGG
rnacentral:rRNA from 1 species